rnacentral:rRNA from 1 species
CCCUUCGGGGCAGGAAGACAGGUGGUGCAUGGUUGUCGUCAGCUCGUGUCGUGAGAUGUUGGGUUAAGUCCCGCAACGAGCGCAACCCUUAUUGUUAGUUGCUACCAUUUAGUUGAGCACUCUAGCGAGACUGCCCGGGUUAACCGGGAGGAAGGUGGGGAUGACGUCAAAUCAUCAUGCCCCUUAUGUCUAGGGCUACACACGUGCUACAAUGGUGAAUACAAAUAGAUGCAAUACCGCGAGGUGGAGCCAAACUAUAAAAUUCAUCCCAGUUCGGAUUGUAGUCUGAAACUCGACUACAUGAAGCCGGAGUUGCUAGUAAUCGCGAAUCAGCAUGUCGCGGUGAAUACGUUCCCGGGCCUUGUA